ACGGUAUCGGAAUAUGCUCGUAAGUUCCUAGAGCUGGGCCGAUACUCCCCUGAGACAUUGAUAGAUGAGAGCAGGAAGGCUAAGAGGUUCCAGUGGGGCCUCCGCCCAGAGAUCAAGCAGCACUUAUUGGUACUAGAGCUCAAGACAAAUUCAGCCGUUCUGGCAAAGGCACAGAUCGUGGAGAGGAGUUUCAACACCCUUUCUCAGUCAGCAGGGAGUCACA
rnacentral:lncRNA from 1 species